rnacentral:rRNA from 1 species
GAAUGCAGCCCAAAGUGGGUGGUAAACUCCAUCCAAGGCUAAAUACUAGCACGAGUCCGAUAGCGAACAAGUACCGUGAGGGAAAGUUGAAAAGUACUUUGAAGAGAGAGUAAACAGUGCGUGAAACCGCUCAGAGGUAAACGGAUGGAGUUGAACUGCAAGCUUUGAGAAUUCAGCUGAUGAGUUUUUUUUGAGCUGGGUCAAGUUGGUAAACUCUGGGGACUGCGUAUUAGCAGGUUUCCAUCUUCGGUUGGUAAUGUGUGAACACUUAUCAUGUGUUACAUGCCCUGGUUUUUUCGGCCAACUCGUCAGUGCACUUUCUCAGAGUAGUCACCACGACCGGCAUAUCUUCCUGGCGAACACGGUUAAACCGGGCUUACAUUGUCCUCACGGCUUUGUUUGUUCGGGAUGGCAGGUAGCUCGUUGGCUUGUCUGUAGCUUGCUGCAGGCGCUCGGUCUUCGAGUGUAAUCAGCUGACCGUGCUAGACUUGUGUAGUAUGUCGGAGACAGCGGCUUGUAGUGUGUGCAUGCGUACUUGUUUACUGACUUACCCGGGUUUGGUUAUUUAGUUGCCUGUAAAAGCAGGCCUGGUGAUGGCUCGGGUAUGUUCGGUAGAUGUUUGCGUGUGUGACACUGUUCUUUGGGCCAAUAGUCUGUGGUGUAGUGGUAGACUUCCACCUGACCCGUCUUGAAACACGGACCAAGGAGAGUAACAUGUGCGCGAGUCAUUGGGCGUUACGAAACCCAAAGGCGCAGUGAAAGUAAAGAUCUGACUUGUUCAGAUUGAGGUGAGAUCCUGUCGUUUCUCACGCAUGGUACUACCCAGCAUCGAGCGGCAGGCGCAUCACCGGCCCGUCCCAUGGCAGUUGUUUUCGAACAGU